rnacentral:rRNA from 1 species
AAGCGGUGGAUGAUGUGGAUUAAUUCGAUGCAACGCGAAGAACCUUACCACCCUUGACAUGUCCGGAACUUGCCAGAGAUGGCUUGGUGCCCGAAAGGGAAUCGGAACACAGGUGCUGCAUGGCUGUCGUCAGCUCGUGUCGUGAGAUGUUGGGUUAAGUCCCGCAACGAGCGCAACCCUUAUCAUUAGUUGCUACGCAAGGGCACUCUAAUGAGACUGCCGGUGACAAACCGGAGGAAGGUGGGGAUGACGUCAAGUCCUCAUGGCCUUUAUGUCUAGGGCUACACACGUACUACAAUGGCCGGUACAAAGGGCAGCCACUCAGCGAUGAGGCGCUAAUCCCAUAAAGCCGGUCUCAGUCCGGAUCGCAGUCUGCAACUCGACUGCGUGAAGUUGGAAUCGCUAGUAAUCGUAGAUCAGCAUGCUACGGUGAAUACGUUCCCGGGCCUU